rnacentral:misc_RNA from 1 species
CAGCUAUCAAAUUCUGAAUUCUACCUUUAUCAUCGCCAUUACCGCUAACGGAAUCCCCCAUUCCAAUCCCCAAACACUGCAACUAAAACUCUUUAAUCCAAAAAAACAAAAAAAAAAAAAAUCACAGCUUCGGGCUACGAAUCUCCGUCAAUUUAGACUAUACUAAGCUCCAAAAAUCGAGAUUUGAUUUAUUCAGCCUCUUAAUGAUCUUAUGAUGUUGCCUUUGGACUUAUCGAAGAAUGUUUUCAAAUCAAGCUGGACUCAUAUAAGAACAUAUCUUCAUUUCU